AGGUCAUUUUAAAGAGGGUUUCUGAGCUGCAAAACCAAGACCUCUAAAUGCUAUGAACAAAGACUGAAGUUCUCCACAGGAUAUCAGUCACUCAAUACUGUGUUUUCCUGAGGAGAGAUAAGA